rnacentral:tRNA from 1 species
GGUUGUGGCUCAGCGGUAGAGCACUUGCCUGGCAUGUAUGAGGCCCUGGGUUCAAUCCUCAGCACCA